GGAUUAGAUACCCUGGUAGUCCAUGCUGUAAACGAUGUGUGCUAGACGUUGGAAAUUUUAUUUUCAGUGUCGCAGCAAAAGCAUUAAGCACACCGCCUGGGGAGUACGACCGCAAGGUUAAAACUCAAAUGAAUUGACGGGGACCCGCACAAGCAGUGGAGCAUGUGGUUUAAUUCGAAGCAACGCGCAGAACCUUACCAGUCCUUGACAUGGGUAGUUCGGUAUUUGGAGACAGAUACCUUCAGUUUGGCUGGCUACCACACAGGUGCUGCAUGGCUGUCGUCAGCUCGUGUUG
rnacentral:rRNA from 1 species